rnacentral:rRNA from 1 species
CUCCGGUUGAUCCUGCCGGACCUGACUGCUAUCGGAUUGGUACUAAGCCAUGCGAGUCGUUGUAGCAAUACAAGGCGGACGGCUCAGUAACACGUAGUCAACCUAACCUAUGGACGUGGAUAACCUCGGGAAACUGAGAAUAAACCGCGAUAGAUCAUUAUGCCUGGAAUAGCUUAUGGUUCAAACAAUUUAUUGCCGUAGGAUGGGACUGCGGCCUAUCAGCUUGUUGGUGAGGUAAUGGCCCACCAAGGCUAUAACAGGUACGGGCUCUGAGAGGAGAAGCCCGGAGAUGGGUACUGAGACACGGACCCAGGCCCUAUGGGGCGCAGCAGGCGAGAAACCUUAGCAAUGUGCGAAAGCACGACUAGGUUAAUCCGAGUGAUUUCUGUUGAAGAAAUCUUUUGUCAGUCGUAAAACCACAGACGAAUAAGGGGUGGGCAAGUCUGGUGUCAGCCGCCGCGGUAAUACCAGCACCUCGAGUGGUCAGGAGGUUUAUUGGGCCUAAAGCAUCCGUAGCCGGCUACGCAAGUCUCCGGUUAAAUCCAGCUGCUCAACAGAUGGGCUGCCGGAGAUACUACAUAGCUAGGGAGCGGGAGAGGUAGACGGUAUUCUGUGGGUAGGGGUAAAAUCCACUGAUCCAUAGAGGACCACCAGUGGCGAAGGCGGUCUACCAGAACGCGUUCGACGGUGAGGGAUGAAAGCUGGGGGAGCAAACCGGAUUAGAUACCCGGGUAGUCCCAGCUGUAAACGAUGCAAACUCGGUGAUGCAUUGGCUUAUGGCCAAUGCAGUGCCGCAGGGAAGCCGUUAAGUUUGCCGCCUGGGAAGUACGGACGCAAGUCUGAAACUUAAAGGAAUUGGCGGGGGAGCA